GACGAACGCUGGCGGCCUGCUUAACACAUGCAAGUCGAACGGAAAGGCCCUGCUUUUGUGGGGUGCUCGAGUGGCGAACGGGUGAGUAACACGUGAGUAACCUGCCCUUGACUUUGGGGUAACUUCAGGAAACUGGGGCUAAUACCGGAUAGGAGCUCCUGCUGCAUGGUGGGGGUUGGAAAGUUUCGGCGGUUGGGGAUGGACUCGCGGCUUAUCAGCUUGUUGGUGGGGUAGUGGCUUACCAAGGCUUUGACGGGUAGCCGGCCUGAGAGGGUGACCGGCCACAUUGGGACUGAGAUACGGCCCAGACUCCUACGGGAGGCAGCAGUGGGGAAUAUUGCACAAUGGGCGGAAGCCUGAUGCAGCAACGCCGCGUGCGGGAUGACGGCCUUCGGGUUGUAAACCGCUUUCGCCUGUGACGAAGCGUGAGUGACGGUAAUGGGUAAAGAAGCACCGGCUAACUACGUG
rnacentral:rRNA from 1 species